rnacentral:lncRNA from 1 species
CCAAUUUGGUUUUUGUUUUUUAUUGAGUUGAGUUUCAUUCGGCAAACACUAGCCACAUGAGUGUCUUACUGGGCCUCAAUGCUCACCACCUUCCAGAACCGCGGCCAGCCACCCACUGAUGCCAUUCAGGAAGUGUCCAUUGUUUGGACUGUUUCUUCCAGCACCUCAAUCUCCAGAGGAGUGAUUUUCUCAGUGAGGACUGCAGUAGUCCCUUUCUCACACCUGUACCGGCCAAGCCUAGUAAGAGAAAAACAAAAGCACAGAGUUAGGAUUCUCCUCAAGGUGCCAGAGGGCAGAAGACAGUGAAAAUAAAUAUUCAGGCAACGCAGUGAGCAGGCUGGACUGGAAUCUUGGCUCUCCCGAUCCCAGCUCUGUGAUCUUGGGGGAUUCAACUUCCUCAGUUCUCAAGUGCUGCAAAAUGGGGGUGCCUGGGAGGCAAAGAGUGUCAUUAGUGAACACGGCACCUGGCCCUUGGUGGACACGUGACUCUCCCCCCACCCCACCAUCCCCACAAGUGCUGGGAAGCACUUGGUCCCUUGACAUCAAUCUUCAACCUCCCUACAAUACUGUUCAGGGACAGCAGGAAGCAAAUCCCAUCAUUACACAAGAGAAGGGCAUGAUUGCUCUUCCGUGCAGCAACAAGAAUGACUUAACUGUUACCUUAGACACUGCACAAACAUCUGGAAGCAUAAACAGUGUAAAAAAAAUGUGCAGCCAGACUCUGGGCUUGUCAUUUCAGACCACUCUCAAGUCUCAAGAAAAGUUAACUGUCCCUUUCAGGGACACAGUGGGUCCCCACUAGGACACACCCAACACCUUCUUCCUGGAGUGAAUCUGGCAGAGGUUUCUUUGAGCACCAGACUGUCUAGAAGAUAUGUAUUUGGGCUGUUAAUGCUCACAGUGGGUCAGGAAUUAGGAUACUGUCAAAUGGCAGCACACAACCAACUGUUCCUCUGCUCUAGCCCCAGCUGGGGUAAUAUCUCUGUCAAACUUGCUGUCCUUCAGGAACUGCCAGAAGGCUGCUGGCUGUGCCAUGGCCUUGUGCUCCCGGAACACCCAUCCUCUCCCCUGGACACACGGGCUAAAAGAGGGAGCAGGAAGCAGAACAAGGAGGGCAACUUCCACAGUUCUGCAUCCAGGUCAGGAGCACGGUCAGCCCAGAGCGGCCUGCCUUUAUGCUGCCAAGCCUCCCCCGACCCCCACCCUCUUAAAGAAUCCAAGCAAAAGUACCUUUGAACAAUGUGUCCCCACCCCAUCAGUUUGAGGAUGCCCCUCAUCCCUCACACGCUGGAACCUUGGUGGCAGCGUGCAGUCUUAGAGCCAAAGUCCCACGUGGCCUCUGUGUGCCUGACUCCUCUGAACCACCCCUCAGUGUCUCCGGGAGGCUUGGACACACAAGAGCCUCCUCACCACUGUGGUGACAGUGCCCGAUUUUUGCGGCAUGCAUUCAGAGCUUCCGCCUUACGUGCCAGUGGACUGCAAGACCGUGUGCUGGAGGGCUGCGGGCAGACAGGCAGCAGGGACUUGCCAGGCAAGGCCCACUGGCGCAUGGCACGGGAUGCUUCCUCAGGCCUAUCGCCCUGCCCGCACCCUAGCAUCCACCCUGGGAAGGGCUCCCCUAACUCAGGCAGUGCCCCCAUCUUCAGUCACUGGCAAAGAAGACAACAGAGUCCAGGGAGCUUGGACACUUGCUGCCCUUGGCCCCAGGACACCGAUGGGGAGCAGGCUCCCUGCAGGUUACUGCACACCCACCACACGCCCAGCAGCUUCUGGGUCGCCUUGCUGAUUCUUCCCAAGCAGCCGCAAGGCGGUUUUCUUUUGUUCUUGGGUGUUUAGAGCCUCUGUUUACAAGUGGAGCAGCCCAUGUCCCAGGAAGUAGGAUGUGCCACUGCUGCACUCCCUGUGGAUGAGGACUCCUGCGCUCAGCACAGGUUCCCUAGGCAACCACUUCUCACUGGCCCAGACGUGGCUUUCAGAGUCCUCGCCCAGGACCCUGGCCAGCCUGAAUGGUGUAACCAUUCCCUACCCCAUCACCGCUUCACCAUGGACUUGCUCAAAUCACGCAUCUUGCAAAAUAACCAGCGAAGCAGGCUACAUGGAGUACUUGGCUCCUGCCUACCUGGAGCUCGGCAAAGCCCGGUUCCCCAACACAGCUCUGGGCCUGAAAGGUGGCUUGCCUUCCUGCUAAAGGCCCGAGGGACUUCGUGGGCUCAUUAGAGGUCAUCUGGUUUAGCUCCAUUUCCAAGACAGACUGAUUUGCUGGAAGCCACCAAGCCAGCCACCAACACUCCCCAACCCCAGUGCCAGCGUUCUCUGGCCCCGUGCUGCCCCACCCCAUCAGGAGCCCACUGAGCUUCCGCAAGGUUGAGUGCAGCCCACAGUGAAUACCUGCUGGUUCUGAACGUUCCAUUCCUUCCUUGUGAAUUACUCCUGAUGUGGAGUUGUGUGUGCAGUGGGAGAUGGAAGCAAGCCUGCAGAAGGUGGUGCUCACUUCCUCGGGGCUACCGUGGAGCUGAGUGGGAGCCGUAGUUUAUAAAUGCCCUGUGCUGCACCCAGAUGCUGCAGCUGGAAGCAGCACUCAGGGAGCCCAUCCUGACCUGCCCGGGCUCCCAGAAGAGGUCAGGAGCCACAGGAUGGUCAAGCAGCCGGACAAUCACGAGACACUGCAAACGAGCUGCUCCUCUGACACAUGCUAGCCACCAGGUUUGGAAACCUCCCAGUUCUGCUCAGCAAAUCAACUAGAACCUUCUCCCACUGCUCUGAGUCUGCGCUGCACCACUGAGCCGAGGGGCCCACUCGGCAUGUAGGCUCAGGCUCAAUGGCACAACUCCCUGUAGCACAGCACACACACACUAGCUCCCAAGGCCACCUCUGGGAGGCUGUUAGCAUUGCUGACUUACACCCAGUUAGGAAUCUCGGGGCACUCUGAGGGAAAGUGCUGGGGCUGCCCUGAAAAAUGCACCUUCUCCCAGAAAUCAGGGGAUUCUUUAAGACACUUGAGAAAGGACAGCAGAUGAUCCAAACCUCUCCGGCCCCACCUCCCAGCCUAGGGCUCUUUCCUGGGCCACCCUCCACCUCUCCCAUCAAAUUAAAUCACUUUCCUACACCUGACAGCAGCCCACUGUCAUAAAGCAAGUAACAAGCCGAAGGUCUGUGUGGGAGGUUGAUUUGGGAACACUGGAUGUACUUAAUGUGGAAAGAACCAGGAAAACUCCAUCCAGAUGCCAUGGAGAUACCAAGGGUGGCCACGACGCCAGGGGACCCAGGAAGAACUUCGUCUCCUUCACUCACCUGGUCCCCUUCUUGUUGGGCACUGUGUAUGGGCGGAGAAAAUCCAGCUUGUUCUUGCUGAUGACGCAGAGGUCAAUGUUGCUUCCGGAGCCCAGGUCGUUGAAGAUGCCAGCUGCGAUGGCUUCGCUCACCAGAUUCUUGGCUUCCUCCUCCUGAGAAACAGAACGGCGGCAAUAAUGUCCCCGGCCAAACUAGGGCCUGCUCUGACAUCCGCAAUGUACGUCCACUAGCAGUGCGCAAGACCUCCCGCGAGACAGGUGUUGUUUUUAAUGCCCAUCUCACAGAUGAGGAAAAGAUCUCAAAGUACCUUGAUUAUUUACCCAAAGUUCCCGACCCAGGCCUUUAAAACUUUUUAUGCAUGCACCGCCUCUUGACCACAUCAGACAAUCACCACAAAACGAUGGGCUGACAGUUACUAGAGGGUUAGUAACUUAUCUUUAAAAGGGCCAGGUAGUAAAUAUUUUAGGCUUUGUGGCCAAAAGUCUCUACCACACCUACUCAACUCUGUCACGCUAGCACAAAACAGCCACACACAAAUACAUUAAAAAAUGGGUAUAACUGUGUUCCAAUAAAACUCUAUUAGCAACAGGCAGUGGGCCAGAUCUGGCCCACUGACUGCAGUUUACUAACUAUCCCCUGAUCAAGAAUGUCCAACAAUAGCUGAAAGUUACUUGAGAAAGUCAGCACUGUAGGAGGAAGAAACUAACACCAAAACACAAGCCGGUAGUUCUGGGGAAAUGCUGGCAGACCAAGGGCGGGACCUCUUGCCCAGAAUAAUCUCUCUCUCCUACUAAGGAACCUAUAGGUUCACUGAAGUAAUCCAUUACUUUGAAUCACUCUCUCCUUUGCCCCACCUUUAAACACAAAUCCCCAUCCCUAAUAGUUACUGGUGAACAGAUGGACUCAUCCCUUUCUUAUCCGAGAAGCCCCAUCACAUGCUAUGUCCUAUCACAUGCUAUACCAGAAGCUAGGGCUGCAGAGGUGGAUGACGCCCCCAGAUCCCUGCCCCCUAGGGGCUUAAGAGUCUAGCAGGGGCACCUGACCCAAGUAAGUACAAUGCAGGGUAAGGCUGGCUAAAGAGCACGUGAAAAGGAGCUGGGAACACAGCUGGUCAGCAGAGCUUCAGGGAGGGCUGAAGGACAGGCUGCACACGAGGCACUCAGAAAACAGCAGUGAAACAGAAGGCAGGCAGCAACGGCAGUGGUACUGGACCUGGGGAACACCAAGUUCAAGCUCUAUAUACAACGAGGACAAAAAUGAACCAGGCUCCCUGAAAGCAGGGAAUCUAACCUGUGCUACGGCGCCUUCCCAGUCCACGAGGGCGUGAGAGUACAUACACAUGCAAGUGCACUCCAGCGCUCACCCAAGCAACACCCUUGGAGAAACACGGACUCCAGGCCCAAAUCCAGCCUGAGACCCUCAAAGGGCAGAUCCGCUAACCUCAAGUUUUCAGAAGAUCUGAACCCACUGGGGGCUCCUGCUCCUCUGCCUGCCCCAUGCCAGACUAGGAUUCCAGUGACAUAAGCGCCCUCUACAGACUCAGAAGGACAGAGAAGGUUCUGCUGGAAGUGGGCUCCUCAGCAAACCAGCAGAUAGGGGUUCCUUUGAUAUUUAUACCCCAGGUUUUUUCACUCUCACGUGACAUCUAUGUGGGGCCAAUGAAGCCAAUUCUUCUUUUGUACAUAUGCAGUCCUGUAAGAAUGCAUUCAAACGGGAUCCGCUAAUUAGGAAUUUUCUCCUGGAAUUCUCAACAGUCUAUGGGGCCAGAAGCUUUCCACAAACCAGUGAAGGUGGCAGCAAAGAAAGCCUCUUAGACGAGGAGCUGGCAGCAGCUGCUAUCUAGAUAGACAGCAAAAACCAACCACUAAUUCAGCAAACACAACCUCAUACCUAACCGCUUCCCUUUAAAUGGCCUUCGGUGUGUGCGCACAUGGGCACGUGCGGGGAGAACCAUACUUAUUCCCCUGUUCCCGGCCUACCACCUCUGCUCCCCCUUCUCUUCUCUACCAUUUAACUGUCUCCUCUGCUUUGUUUCUUAUCACUGCUGCUGGUGUCUAGAGCCAGCCAGCAGUACCUGGCAGACAUCGCGACCCUGCGGGCAGCGCUUAGGACUGCACAUUUACAUUUCCCAAAUGAUCUGGGUAGAUGGGGACAGGUGAAGACUUGGGGAAACGGAAAUAUACGAAUGACAUGAGACAUGCAUAUCUAGUGUCAAUCCAUUCGACUGGGCACAGGACAGCAGACUGCUGACAGUGCUAUGUAAGAUUAUGAGUGAUCCUCCCUCUAUUUUGCAAACAGUCUGUAAGUAACUGAUAAAACUUUAAAAUAUGCAAAUUUUAAAAUUAUAUAGUUUGAUUUACUCAUCAAAUUAUCAUGUAUGCUGUUAUUUAAGUAUGAAUAAAGGCUUUUUUAAAUUGGGAAAA